rnacentral:rRNA from 1 species
UACGUAGGGGGCUAGCGUUGUCCGGAAUUACUGGGCGUAAAGCGUGCGCAGGCGGUUUUGUAAGUCUGUCGUGAAAUCCCCGGGCUCAACCUGGGAAUUGCGAUGGAGACUGCAAGGCUAGAAUCUGGCAGAGGGGGGUAGAAUUCCACGUGUAGCAGUGAAAUGCGUAGAGAUGUGGAGGAACACCGAUGGCGAAGGCAGCCCCCUGGGUCAAGAUUGACGCUCAUGCACGAAAGCGUGGGGAGCAAACAGG